CAGUCGACGGUGAAGCCCAGCUUGCUGGGUGGAUCAGUGGCGAACGGGUGAGUAACACGUGAGCAACCUGCCCCGGACUCUGGGAUAAGCGCUGGAAACGGCGUCUAAUACUGGAUACGAGACGCAACCGCAUGGUUAGUGUUUGGAAAGAUUUUUCGGUCUGGGAUGGGCUCGCGGCCUAUCAGCUUGUUGGUGAGGUAAUGGCUCACCAAGGCGUCGACGGGUAGCCGGCCUGAGAGGGUGACCGGCCACACUGGGACUGAGACACGGCCCAGACUCCUACGGGAGGCAGCAGUGGGGAAUAUUGCACAAUGGGCGGAAGCCUGAUGCAGCAACGCCGCGUGAGGGAUGACGGCCUUCGGGUUGUAAACCUCUUUUAGCAGGGAAGAAGCGAUAGUGACGGUACCUGCAGAAAAAGCGCCGGCUAACUACGUGCCAGCAGCCGCGGUAAUACGUAGGGCGCAAGCGUUAUCCGGAAUUAUUGGGCGUAAAGAGCUCGUAGGCGGUCUGUCGCGUCUGCUGUGAAAACCCGAGGCUCAACCUCGGGCCUGCAGUGGGUACGGGCAGACUAGAGUGCGGUAGGGGAGAUUGGAAUUCCUGGUGUAGCGGUGGAAUGCGCAGAUAUCAGGAGGAACACCGAUGGCGAAGGA
rnacentral:rRNA from 1 species